rnacentral:lncRNA from 1 species
CCUCCAAUUCUUCCCCUCUUAGAACCCUAGAGUCAAGACCAAAAAAAAACUCCCCCUCACAGUGACCUGAUCGGUCUUUAUAUAGGGCUCCAAAUUCGGAGGGGGGGAAGGGGAAUCUAGGUGUUUUGAAAGGGGAGUAAUUCAAAAUUUCACUCGGAUCAAGCUACCCCUAAUAGAUUGUACCCCUUUGUACCAAAUUCUUGGAUGAUUCCCAAAUAGGUGGACCAAUCACCACUGGAAAAAAUGAAUCCCCCCUUCCAACCACUAAAAAACACCCAAAUAUGUACCAAAUUCGUACCCCUAUCCCUAAAUUCAUGGAAUUGAAUGUUGGAGGGCACCUUAACACUGUUCUAGAAGGUUCAAAAUUCCUCAA